GCAUUGUGUUUCUCCGUAAACUAAUGCAAAAUUAUACUUCCUCCGUAAACUAAUAUAAGAGCGUUUAGAUCACUACAUCAGAUUUUACUAUAUGUGCUUCCUACCAAUAUGCAUGAUUUUUAGUUGCACUUGUAGUUCCUGAACAUCAAUAUUGAUGAACUGGGUGAGGUACGGAACAUCUGUUAACACCUGCGCUGCCCUCCGGUAAUGAGGAUCCAGCGUCCCACCACCUCCGCCACCAUCCGCUCCCUCACCGCCGCGGGGAACCACGCCGCCGCCCUCCGAGCGCUCUCCUCCCUCUCGGCCUCCUCCGCCCAGCUCGACCACUUCGCGCUCCCGCCGGCCAUCAAGUCCGCGGCCGCGCUCCGGGACGGCCGGGCCGCGCGCGCGCUCCACGCGGCCGCCCUCCGCCGCGCGCUCAUCCACCGGCCCACCCCCGCCGUCGGCAACGCGCUCCUCACCGCCUACGCGCGCUGCGGCGACCUCGACGGGGCCCUCACGCUCUUCGCCGCCACGCCGCCGGAGCUCCGCGACGCCGUGUCCUACAACUCGCUCAUCUCCGCGCUCUGCCUGUUCCGGCAGUGGGAGCGCGCGCUCGACGCCCUCCGCGGCAUGCUCGCCGAGGCCCGCCACGACGUCAGCUCCUUCACCCUUGUCAGCGUGCUCCUCGCCUGCUCCCACCUCGCCGGCGACGACGGCCGCCGCCUCGGCCGCGAGGCCCACGCCUUCGCGCUCAAGCACGGCUUCCUCGACGAGGGCGGCAGCGCAGGUGGUGGGACUCGCCGGCCGGCGGGGGCAGAGCGUCGGAGUGCACUUAAGGUGUUCGUGGAAAUGAGAGAGAGAGAGGAGGAAGAAGAUUGAUGCUGACAGGUGGGCCCAAGCGGUCAGAUUUGUGCUUAGCACGGACUAAGCGAGCGAUUUCGCGACUUGGUAGUUUUUUGCCACGGAUUAGGAAAAAAGUGGUAGUUUUCGGGACAAAAUCGUAAAGUGGUAGUUUUUCGUCACGGUUCCGUGAAUUGUGGUAGUUUUUGGUUAAAUACUCGUUAACACUAGAAGUUAUGUUAGGAGCUUUUCAUGAGGAAGUCCAUGCCCUGAAAGUACUGUAAACUAAAGAGUUUUUGGAAGGCUAAUCAGACUAUCUCAUCAAGUUUAUUGAUCAAAUGCCACUGGUAGACAAGGGUUGGAGCGUGAAGCUGUUUGGAUAGAGUAGUCGCUGGUUAAUUUGUAGGGCGAGGAGUAAAUGGAUGAGAGCAUGUAGCGAGUGGGCUGAUGGUAACUUGUAAGCAAGAAAUUCAGGCCUUUAACCCAACUAGUAAUUGUGGACGUGCAAUGCACAUUAACACGAGGCAAAGAUAUUAAUUAUAUUGCAUAUUAAUAUUAAGCAAAAUAUAAAUUGCAUGUUAAUAUUAGGUACUAGGCUAUAUAGUAAGCAUGAUAUUAAUUAGGCGAUGGUACUAAACAUGCUAAACAUCGGAGCGAUGUAGACCGUUGGAUAGAUGCAGUUGAAUCGGUGAGAUUUGUUGGACCUUUGCAACUUGCUCUUUUUAUAAUGGUAUUGGUAUAUAGUAGAUAUUUGCACAUGAGCUUCGGUUUUCUAUAAUUUGAGUACCACAAUGUUCUGCUGCUACCGCUUAAACAAACAUCCUUCCAAGUUCCCAAUCAACAUCAGGGAUAAUUCAUGCACUUCACUACAAGCCUUUUGGGCUUCAGCUUAUAUAAGUCUUAUCUUUUUUGUGAAUUAUUUGAUGACCCGUAGACACAUUCCUGCAUCUGUGGUACUAUUUUCCCACUGCCCUUUUUAAUUUCUUACGCAGUCAUAUUUUCUCCAAG
rnacentral:lncRNA from 1 species